ensembl:snRNA U6 U6 spliceosomal RNA
GUGUUCGCUUCGGCAGCACAUAUACUAAAAUUGGAACGAUACAGAGAAGAUUAGCAUGACCCCUGCGCAAGGAUGACACGCAAAUUCGUGAAGCUAUCUAGCAAGCU